UGCAGUCGACGGUAACCUCUGGAUUCGUCUGGAGGGGAGAGUGGCGAACGGGUGAGUAACACGUAGGUGACCUGCCUUGAAGACGGGGAUAACCACUGGAAACGGUGGCUAAUACCCGAUAGCCUCGGUGAUUCGGUUCAUCGAGUAAAGCUCCGGCGCUUCAAGAGGGGCCUGCGGCCCAUCAGCUAGUUGGUAGGGUAAUGGCCUACCAAGGCAAAGACGGGUAGGGGGCGUGAGAGCGUGACCCCCCACACUGGCACUGCGACACGGGCCAGACUCCUACGGGAGGCAGCAGUGAGGAAUAUUGCGCAAUGGGCGAAAGCCUGACGCAGCAACGCCGCGUGGGUGAUGAAGGCCCUCGGGUCGUAAAACCCUUUUCUGGGGGAAGAGCAAGGACUGUACCCCAGGAAUAAGUCUCGGCUAACUAUGUGCCAGCAGCCGCGGUAAGACAUAGGAGGCGAGCGUUAUCCGGGAUUACUGGGCGUAAAGAGCGUUGAGGCGGCCUCGUAAGUUGGACGUGAAAGCUCCUGGCUCAACUGGGAGAGGUCGUUCAAUACUGCAAGGCUUGAGGACAGCAGAGGGGGGUGGAAUUCCCGGUGUAGUGGUGAAAUGCGUAGAUAUCGGGAGGAACACCAGUGGCGAAGGCGGCCCCCUGGGCUGCUCCUGACGCUGAAGGCGAAAGCUAGGGGAGCGAACGGGAUUAGAAACCCCGGUAGUCCUAGCCGUAAACGAUGGAUACUAGGUGUAGGGGGUGAUAACUCCCUCUGCGCCGAAGCUAACGCGUUAAGUAUCCCGCCUGGGGACUACGGCCGCAAGGCUAAAACUCAAAGGAAUUGACGGGGACCCGCACAAGCAGCGGAGCGUGUGGUUUAAUUCGAUGCUACGCGAAGAACCUUACCAGGGCUUGACCUGCAGGUAGUAGUGAAGCGAAAGCGGAACGAUCCUUCGGGAAGCCUGCACAGGUGCUGCAUGGCUGUCGUCAGCUCGUGCCGUGAGGUGUUAGGUUAAGUCCUGUAACGGGCGCAACCCUUACCGUUAGUUACAAGUGUCUAGCGGGACUGCCCGGCAAAACUGGGAGGAAGGUGGGGAUGACGUCAAGUCAGCAUGGCCUUUAUGUCCUGGGCUACACACACGCUACAAUGGCCGGUACAAUGGGUCGCCAAGCCGUGAGGCGGAGCCAAUCCUGAAAGCCGGUCUCAGUUCGGAUUGUAGGCUGCAACUCGCCUACAUGAAGUUGGAGUUGCUAGUUACCGCAGGUCAGCCACACUGCGGUGAAUACGUUCCCGGGUCUUGUACACACCGCCCGUCACGUCAUGGGAGCUGGUGACACCUGAAGCCGGUGGGCUAACCGAAAGGAGGCAGCCGUCGAA
rnacentral:rRNA from 1 species